rnacentral:rRNA from 1 species
UGCCAGACUCCUACGGGAGGCAGCAGUGGGGAAUAUUGCACAAUGGGGGAAACCCUGAUGCAGCAACGCCGCGUGAGUGAAGAAGUAUUUCGGUAUGUAAAGCUCUAUCAGCAGGGAAGAAAAUGACGGUACCUGAGUAAGAAGCCCCGGCUAACUACGUGCCAGCAGCCGCGGUAAUACGUAGGGGGCAAGCGUUAUCCGGAUUUACUGGGUGUAAAGGGAGCGUAGACGGCGAUGCAAGUCUGAAGUGAAAGCCCGGGGCUCAACCCCGGGACUGCUUUGGAAACUGUAUGGCUGGAGUACUGGAGAGGCAAGCGGAAUUCCUAGUGUAGCGGUGAAAUGCGUAGAUAUUAGGAAGAACACCAGUGGCGAAGGCGGCUUACUGGACAGUAACUGACGUUGAGGCUCGAAAGCGUGGGGAGCAAACAGGAUUAGAUACCCGCGUA